rnacentral:lncRNA from 1 species
GUAUGUUUUUACCCCAGCAACAGAGGCAAUGUCGAAGGAAUUGUACUUCCGAAUUUUGGACAUGAUCAGGGAAAUGAAAUUAGUUGAGGAAGAAGAAUUAGUCUUGGCAAAUGAAGAAGGUGAAACGUCUGAUACUACUGCAGAAGAGAUCAGUAUGUCUGAUUCUGAUUAUUCGGAAUCUCUGCAGAAAAAAAAGGAAAAAGUUUUAUUUCUUUGGAACAAAAAAGAAAAGCCAUAGCCUUGGCAAAACUCUAUCCAAAUUGGUCUGUAAGUAAUUUUCAGAGAAAUGGAGUUCGUGAAUUAAAGAUGAAAAGCCAAUUAAAACAGUAAGAUAUAACUUUAAUACAUAUUUAGAAUUUUUAAUUACUUUUGAAGUUAAUUACUGUUAGUAAAUACAGGUAGUCGCCAACUUACGGUCCCAAUUGGGACCGACAUAUUGGUCAUAAUUGCAUUUUCUGUAUUUUUUUUUGUUCUUACUGUUGUCUUUAUGUUAUUUUUGUUUUUACAGGCCUGUUGGUUGACAUAGCAUGAAAGUGCGAAUGACGUUUAGUGUUUUUCGUGGGUUUUCCCUCUGCUUUAGAUUAUGGUAUUAGUCAUCUUCAUUCCUUUUAAGGCUCUGUAAUAUAUAUAUAAAAGCAUUAAAUCUGUUAUAUAAUUAUUUUAAUUCUCUACUUACGCGUGGUUUUUCAUUUUUUCCUUUUUUUUUUUUAUAGUACAAUAAAGUUUUUUCACGAGUCAGUUUUCACUAUUUGUUUACG